rnacentral:snRNA from 1 species
AGCUUUGCGCAGUGGCAAUAUUGUAGCCAAUGAGGUUUAUCUGAGGCAUGAUUAUUGCUAAUUGGAAGUAUUGAUCUUUUCAUUUUACAGAUGAGGUAAUUGAGGCUUAGAUGUGACUUGCCUAAGGACACAUAUUUAUUAAAUGAGAUGUCUGGUACUUAAAACCUGG